rnacentral:rRNA from 1 species
GAGUUUGAUCCUGGCUCAGAGCGAACGCUGGCGGCAGGCCUAACACAUGCAAGUCGAACGGAUCCUUCGGGAUUAGUGGCGGACGGGUGAGUAACACGUGGGAACGUGCCUUUAGGUUCGGAACAACUCAGGGAAACUUGAGCUAAUACCGGAUGUGCCCUUAGGGGGAAAGAUUUAUCGCCUUUAGAGCGGCCCGCGUCUGAUUAGCUAGUUGGUGAGGUAAAGGCUCACCAAGGCGACGAUCAGUAGCUGGUCUGAGAGGAUGACCAGCCACAUUGGGACUGAGACACGGCCCAAACUCCUACGGGAGGCAGCAGUGGGGAAUCUUGCGCAAUGGGCGAAAGCCUGACGCAGCCAUGCCGCGUGUAUGAUGAAGGUCUUAGGAUUGUAAAAUACUUUCACCGGUGAAGAUAAUGACUGUAGCCGGAGAAGAAGCCCCGGCUAACUUCGUGCCAGCAGCCGCGGUAAUACGAAGGGGGCUAGCGUUGCUCGGAAUUACUGGGCGUAAAGGGAGCGUAGGCGGACAUUUAAGUCAGGGGUGAAAUCCCAGAGCUCAACUCUGGAACUGCCUUUGAUACUGGAUGUCUUGAGUAUGAGAGAGGUAUGUGGAACUCCGAGUGUAGAGGUGAAAUUCGUAGAUAUUCGGAAGAACACCAGUGGCGAAGGCGACAUACUGGCUCAUUACUGACGCUGAGGCUCGAAAGCGUGGGGAGCAAA